AACGAACGCUAGCGGCAGGCCUGACACAUGCAAGUCGAACGGACAUCGAAGUUGGUUCGCCAAUGGAGAUGUUAGUGGCAGACGGGUGAGGAAUACAUAGGAAUCUACCUAGUAGUAUGGAAUAGUCACUGGAAACGGUGAGUAAUACCACAUACGCCCUGCGGGGGAAAGAUUUAUCGCUAUUAGAUGAGCCUAUGCUGGAUUAGCUAGUUGGUGGGGUAAAUGCCUACCAAGGCGACGAUCCAUAGCUGGCCUGGGAGGGUGACCAGCCACACUGGAACUGAGAUACGGUCCAGACUCCUACGGGAGGCAGCAGUGGGGAAUAUUGGGCAAUGGGCGCAAGCCUGACCCAGCCAUGCCGCAUGAGUGAAGAAGGCCUUCGGGUUGUAAAGCUCUUUCAGCGGGGAAGAUUAUGACGGUACCCGCAGAAGAAGUCCUGGCUAACUCCGUGCCAGCCGCCGCUGUAA
rnacentral:rRNA from 1 species